rnacentral:rRNA from 1 species
UAGGGAAUCUUCCACAAUGGACGCAAGUCUGAUGGAGCAACGCCGCGUGAGUGAAGAAGGUUUUCGGAUCGUAAAGCUCUGUUGUUGGUGAAGAAGGAUAGAGGCAGUAACUGGUCUUUAUUUGACGGUAAUCAACCAGAAAGUCACGGCUAACUACGUGCCAGCAGCCGCGGUAAUACGUAGGUGGCAAGCGUUGUCCGGAUUUAUUGGGCGUAAAGCGAGCGCAGGCGGAAUGAUAAGUCUGAUGUGAAAGCCCACGGCUCAACGGUGGAACUGCAUCGGAAACUGUCAUUCUUGAGUGCAGAAGAGGAGAGUGGAAUUCCAUGUGUAGCGGUGGAAUGCGUAGAUAUAUGGAAGAACACCAGUGGCGAAGGCGGCUCUCUGGUCUGCAACUGACGCUGAGGCUCGAAAGCAUGGGUAGCGAACAGG